GAAUCUGGUACCGGGACUUGGGGAGCGAGGGAUGCAACAUGGUGCUUCUGGGAGGCCUGCUAACUGGCUAACUUCUCCGGCGUUCCUCCCGGCCGAGGCGUGGGCACAGAAUAGCGCAGGUGAGGCCCAGAUAUGGUGUCUCGAUACGGCGCGGAAGGUCAGUAUGUACCUCGUUUUGUAUAUUGUCUUGAAACUUUACUCCUUUGUAUGUUUGAAGACAUCAUUUUCCAGUUUUGGAGCCGACUAAUGAACUAGUUCUUAAGUGAAAGGCAUUUAACACGACUGUGCAUCUACAGGUACUAGGUUUCCAAGAUGCCUUUCCAGACUAAAACCCACACAUGUGAGCCGCUGGCCGGACAAACAUCUGGCACCUAACGUGGGGCUGAAAAACAGCAGAGGACAUUUGGAAGAAACACUGCUGGUUUGGAGCUCCAUAGAAGAA
ensembl:lincRNA